rnacentral:lncRNA from 1 species
AUGAUACUGCGCCUGUGUAAGGGUAUGACUAGGACUUCAUUUCCCAGAAUCUAUCAAGAGUUCUCUGGCACCCCGCCCCCAUCCCACUGUAGAGUUGAGUGUGCGCAGGUCCAAGUUCCAGUCUUGCUAGUCCUCACUGCACAGGCUGGGAGGCCAUGCGCAGUGCGCCGGCGCAAGAGUGUGGGGGCGGGCCUUCCAGCGUUAGGAUCUGACUACAGCCCCACUGCUCUGCGAGCCACCCGAGGCCCCAGGUCCCGGAGGACUAAGAAGCGUCGUCACGCACUGGGGAGGGGCCAGAGCUGCCUGAGGGGCGGAGGCGUCGGGUUGACCCCUGCCCCCAUGCUGUGUAACCCCGCGUCAGCCAUCAGCUUCUCUGGGCAUCAGCUGCCUCCUCUGUACGAUGAGAAGAGCCGCCCGAUGGCCUCCACAGCCCCUUCCAGGCCCGCCUCGAUGACCCCUAGAUGGCAGGAGCCGGGCCCGGGGCGGGUCUGGAGCUGGAGUUGCAGCUGGUGCAGAGUUAGUGUGUCCAGAGGGACCCUCCUUCGCCUCGGGGACAAGGUCUGGCUGGUCGGGACUCCGGCCUCGCCUCAGCGAGGAGAGCCAAGGACCCGGAGGGCGUGAGCUGCUGCGGGUACUGGCCCCCGGGACCUCCUACAAGUUACUGACAUUCCAAGAUGUGGUUGUGGAUUUCACCUAGGAUGAAUGGGGGCUCUUGGAGCCAGUGCAGAAGGACCUGUUCAGGGAUGUGAUGCUGGAGAAUUUUGUCCCCCUUGGUAAGUAAGUAAGUACAGCUUCUUUCUCAUGAGUCAUCUGGCCCCUAGGAUUUCUUGGCAUGCUGAACUUCUUACAGGUUAUAGAAUAUUUAAUGAAGUGCUUCACUGAGUUUUAACUCUGCAUAUAAGGACAUUCUUAGGAUCACAUGGAAUGUGGAAAGAUUCCUAAAUCUUUUGAUAUAAAGAAGCACAAUGUUUCUGCUCUCUUUUUCCAGAUAAAAGACUUUGCUUUGCUUUGGUAUUCAGAAGCAUUAUUGUGAUUCUCCUAAGACUAGUUUUUCUACUGUAUAUUUUUCCACUAAAGUCCCAGUGAAACUGCUGGAAGACAUGAAAAGUUUUCAUCUUCUUAGUAAGGAAUGUGUUUAAAUGGAGUAAUUUUCUUUAAGCCUAAUUAAAAUCCUGUUUUCACCCCUGCUACUUGAUGGUUACACAAACUCAGUACAGAAUAUCCUUUAGAGGUCCUUUGUAGUGUUCCUUAAAGAGAAAGUAAGCUCCUUGAGAGUCAUUUUUUUUGCCUCUUUUUUUUAAGCCCCCGGACUUAGUACAGUACCUGCCACAUAGUAGGCAUCUAAUAAAUACUUUUCAACUGAUCGACUGUCUAAGAUU